rnacentral:rRNA from 1 species
GAUGAACGCUAGCUACAGGCUUAACACAUGCAAGUCGAGGGGAAACGACAUCGAAAGCUUGCUUUUGAUGGGCGUCGACCGGCGCACGGGUGAGUAACGCGUAUCCAACCUGCCCAUCACUUGGGAAUAACCUUGCGAAAGUAAGACUAAUACCCAAUGACAUCCCACGAAGACAUCUGAAUGGGAUUAAAGAUUUAUCGGUGAUGGAUGGGGAUGCGCCUGAUUAGCUUGUUGGCGGGGUAACGGCCCACCAAGGCAACGAUCAGUAAGGGUUCUGAGAGGAAGGUCCCCCACAUUGGAACUGAGACACGGUCCAAACUCCUACGGGAGGCAGCAGUGAGGAAUAUUGGUCAAUGGGCGAGAGCCUGAACCAGCCAAGUAGCGUGCAGGAUGACGGCCCUAUGGGUUGUAAACUGCUUUUAUAAGGGAAUAAAGUGGGUCUCGUGAGACUUUUUGCAUGUACCUUAUGAAUAAGGACCGGCUAAUUCCGUG